ACACGCUGUUUGACCACUAUGCAAUCCUGCUCCUGAAAGAGUCGGAUCAUGCAUUUAUCUUUCAACCUUCUCACAGCUGCUUUUUAAGCAUCUACUGUACAUCAAGACUUCUUCUGGACACUUGGGCAGUCUGUGAUUUCCACUCUUGAUUGCUUCUUGAGUACAAAUGCUGGUCUGCUGACGCGCCUCCAUGGAAUCCAAGCCUUUGCUAGCUUCCUAUUUACGGUAAGGUGCAGAUGUCUGGGCUCCUGGUAACCAUGGUCUUACUCUAACUCCUCUGGAGCCCCUGCCCUCAACCGUUACCUGUGUUGCGCUGUCCUGGGCUGUGUUUCCUGAGCUCACCAAACUGCUUCAUGCCUCCAGAUCUUGACACCUGCUGUUCCCUCCACCUGGAAGCCCUUCUGCUUUCCACCUGAUGAACCUCUCCUCCUCUUUUAAAAUCCAACUGAAAUGCCCGCUCCUUUCUGAAGCAAUCAUUGUGUCUCCCCCCAUCCCCGCCCUCUGCUUCAGGCUCUGAGUUCCCCAAGUAGUGCCUGAUCACCAAUUGUCACCAGACAGGUUUGUGCUCAAUUACAUAUUCUCUCAGCACUUUAUUCGGACUGAAUUUUGUCCCCUCAUUAGAGGUAAGGUAUUUCAGAUCCCUCCAACACCAAGCGCAGAGCCUUGUGCGUGAAACAAAACCAACACAGCCAGACCGGGAGACAGAAACAGACAGAAGGGCACAGAACCACCAACUGCCAAAUCUCCCUUGUGGGUUAUUGAAGGUAUUGUUUCUGGUGUGGUCCGUGUGCCCGGGACGGCACAGCUAUUAGAGUCAAGGACGGGACUCAGUGUAUUCGAUGAAGCAAAAAUCAGCAAGAAUGUUUUGAUGUCAGAAACUGGAAGUCCAGCCAGACACUGCUGUGGCCGGUUGCCCAGAGACGGUCACGCCCAUCUCUGUAGGACAGCCAUGGAAACUCUGCACCCGGGCAGCCAAGAAACAGGAAACCUCUAAUGCUGGGGCCAGCCUGCUGCCCGAGCCCUGGAUCUGGGUGUGGCUUGAAGCAGCGAUGCUGUCUGUUUGAAAAUUAACUAGUAACACUCUCACACUCACUGACAGAUGUGACCAUUGUCACAACCCUUUAAAAAUAGGUUUACUGCUUUCCUUGAAAAGUGAAAGUCAUGAAAGUAAUACAGGAUCAUUUUACUUCCCAAAUACAGAAAUGUGUUAGUAGGAGAAGAAAGACACUUAUAACGCUGCCUCCCAGAAAAAAAAAAAUCACAGCCAACAUUUUGGUGUUCAUCAUUUUUUCCAAAUUUUUUGUCUGUGUACAAAGUUCCAUAAUUUUCAUAAUUCUAUUUAUUUAAAAAAAAUAAAAUGGAAUCA